rnacentral:lncRNA from 1 species
GUCAGUUGAGGGCUGCCCGCUGCGUGGGGUGGAUUCCCCAGCCCUCACAGGAUAAUUUUAUCACAGAGGACAACAUUUGUAGUUCUGCAUGAGUGGCUCUCCUGGCGAGAUAAAGAAGAGACAGUGAGCUGAGGCUGAGGCUGAGAAGGCUGGCAUAUGUGAUGUCUUCGGGGAUCGGAAGCUGUAAAGAAAGCUUUUAUGGUUCCCUGACUGAGGAUAAUCAACCCCUUCAUAAUUUAGAAUCCAAAGAUUGGAUCUUCUGAGAACAUCAGAGAAAGACUGCCCUUGCCAUCCACACUGCAACAAAACUUCAGAACCUUGAACCUUGGGUUCAUAAUCUCACAACAAAGAAGGGUCCCUCCAUGUUCUUGGAGCUGUACACCCAUUGGAACUCUUAAGACAUAUGGCCCUAAAGCACCUCAGAAGAAGCUGAAGGAAAUCAGCCUCCAUAGCUUUCAAGCCCCUGGACUCCUGGAGCCAGAAGUUAAUUCACACUCUGAUCUCAGAGAAGUUCAAGACCUUCAGCAGAACUUUUCCUGGCCAGGGCAUUUUUGCCCCUGAGAUAUGUCAUUAAACACUGUAACCAGGAACUUCUGUUCUUACCCCUGUCCUUCCCUUCACCUUUUAUAGUUACUAAAUGCAAUGUUUUAUUUUUCCAAGUACAAAACAAUAAAAUAGUUAUAAAGAAA